rnacentral:rRNA from 1 species
GAUGAACGCUGGCGGCGUGCCUAAUACAUGCAAGUCGAGCGAACAGACGAGGAGCUUGCUCCUCUGACGUUAGCGGCGGACGGGUGAGUAACACGUGGAUAACCUACCUAUAAGACUGGGAUAACUUCGGGAAACCGGAGCUAAUACCGGAUAAUAUAUUGAACCGCAUGGUUCAAUAGUGAAAGACGGUUUUGCUGUCACUUAUAGAUGGCUCCGCGCCGCAUUAGCUAGUUGGUAAGGUAACGGCUUACCAAGGCGACGAUGCGUAGCCGACCUGAGAGGGUGAUCGGCCACACUGGAACUGAGACACGGUCCAGACUCCUACGGGAGGCAGCAGUAGGGAAUCUUCCGCAAUGGGCGAAAGCCUGACGGAGCAACGCCGCGUGAGUGAUGAAGGUCUUCGGAUCGUAAAACUCUGUUAUUAGGGAAGAACAAAUGUGUAAGUAACUAUGCACGUCUUGACGGUACCUAAUCAGAAAGCCACGGCUAACUACGUG